rnacentral:misc_RNA from 1 species
AACUUUUAGCAAUGGAUCACUUGGCUCUCGCAUCUAUGAAGAACGCAGCGAAAUGCGAUACGUAAUGUGAAUUGCAGAAUUCAGUGAAUCAUCGAAUCUUUGAACGCACCUUGCGCCCCUUGGUAUUCCGAGGGGCACACCCGUUUGAGUGUCGUGAACAUCUCAACCUUCUCGGUUUCUUCUGGACACCGAAGGAGGCUUGGACUUUGGAGGCCUUUGCUGGCGUCUCUCGCCAGCUCCUCUCAAAUGAAUUAGUGGGGUCCUCUUUGCCGAUCCACGACGUGUGAUAAGAUGUUUCCAUGUCUUGGUUUAUGGCUCUGUUGCUUUUGGGACCCGCUUCUAACCGUCUCAACGAGACAACGUUCGAGCGUGUCGAACACUCUUGAACCCACGAACCCUUGACCUCCAAUCGGGUGAGACUACCCGCUGAACUUAAGCAUAUCAAUAAGCGGAGGCU